GAGUUUGAUCAUGGCUCAGAUUGAACGCUGGCGGCAGGCCUAACACAUGCAAGUCGAGCGGUAGAGAGAAGCUUGCUUCUCUUGAGAGCGGCGGACGGGUGAGUAAUGCCUAGGAAUCUGCCUGGUAGUGGGGGAUAACGCUCGGAGACGGACGCUAAUACCGCAUACGUCCUACGGGAGAAAGCAGGGGACCUUCGGGCCUUGCGCUAUCAGAUGAGCCUAGGUCGGAUUAGCUAGUUGGUGAGGUAAUGGCUCACCAAGGCGACGAUCCGUAACUGGUCUGAGAGGAUGAUCAGUCACACUGGAACUGAGACACGGUCCAGACUCCUACGGGAGGCAGCAGUGGGGAAUAUUGGACAAUGGGCGAAAGCCUGAUCCAGCCAUGCCGCGUGUGUGAAGAAGGUCUUCGGAUUGUAAAGCACUUUAAGUGGGAGGAAGGCAAGUAAUUAAUACUUGCUUGUUUGACGUUACCGAC
rnacentral:rRNA from 1 species